CACACCGCCCGUCACAUCAUGAAAGCCGUUUGUACCCGAAGUCGUUGUGUUAACCGCAAGGAGGCAGACGCCGAAGGUAUGGAUGGUGAUUGGGAUG
rnacentral:rRNA from 1 species